CACGUAGGGCGCAAGCGUUGUCCGGAAUUAUUGGGCGUAAAAAGCUCGUAGGUGGUUUGUUACGUCCGCUGUGAAAUCCUAGGGCUUAACCCUGGGCUUGCAGUGGAUACGGGCAGACUAGAGGUAGGUAGGGGAGAUUGGAAUUCCUGGUGUAGCGGUGGAAUGCGCAGAUAUCAGGAGGAACACCGGUGGCGAAGGCGACAUCCUGGACCGGUAUUGACGCUGAGGCGCGAAAGCCAGGGGAGCAAACAGG
rnacentral:rRNA from 1 species